GAUGAACGCUGGCGGCGUGCCUAAUACAUGCAAGUCGAGCGAACAGACGAGGAGCUUGCUCCUCUGACGUUAGCGGCGGACGGGUGAGUAACACGUGGAUAACCUACCUAUAAGACUGGGAUAACUUCGGGAAACCGGAGCUAAUACCGGAUAAUAUAUUGAACCGCAUGGUUCAAUAGUGAAAGACGGUUUUGCUGUCACUUAUAGAUGGAUCCGCGCCGCAUUAGCUAGUUGGUAAGGUAACGGCUUACCAAGGCAACGAUGCGUAGCCGACCUGAGAGGGUGAUCGGCCACACUAGAACGGAGACACGGUCCAGACUCCUAAGGGAGGCAGCAGUAGGGAAUCGUCCGCAAUGGGCGAAAGCCUGACGGAGCAGCGCCGCGUGAGUGAUGAAGGUCUUCGGAGCGUAAAACUCUGUUAUUAGGGAAGAACAAAUGUGUAAGUAACUAUGCACGUCUUGACGGUACCUAAUCAGAAAGCCACGGCUAACUACGUG
rnacentral:rRNA from 1 species